rnacentral:rRNA from 1 species
ACUCCUACGGGAGGCAGCAGUGGGGAAUAUUGCACAAUGGGCGCAAGCCUGAUGCAGCCAUGCCGCGUGUAUGAAGAAGGCCUUCGGGUUGUAAAGUACUUUCAGCAGUGAGGAAGGUGGAUAUGUUAAUAGCAUAUUCAUUUGACGUUAGCUGCAGAAGAAGCACCGGCUAACUCCGUGCCAGCAGCCGCGGUAAUACGGAGGGUGCGAGCGUUAAUCGGAAUUACUGGGCGUAAAGCGCAUGCAGGUGGUUUGUUAAGUCAGAUGUGAAAGCCCGGGGCUCAAACCUCGGAAAUUGCAAUUUGAAACUGGCAAACUAGAGUACUGUAGAGGGGGGUAGAAUUUCAGGUGUAAGCGGUGAAAUGCGUAAGAGAUACUGAAAGGAAUACCGGUAGGCGAAGGCGGCCCCCUGGACAGAUACUGACAUCAGAUGCGAAAGCGUGGGGAGCAAAACAGGAUUAGAUACCCUGGUAGCUCUGC